rnacentral:misc_RNA from 1 species
AAAGUCGUAACAAGGUAACCGUAGGUGAACCUGCGGUUGGAUCAUUACUAAAGAAUUUAAUGUACUUCGCGUUUCGCAAGGAGCGCGUUUUACAUAUAAAUUUAUCACCCCCUUUGUGAACUGUUUACCGUGUUUUGGCGGCCCUCCAAAAAUGCUUGGGGCAACCCGAGUUUGGGCUCGUCAGCUAUUAUCCACACCAAUGUUUUAUUUAUAUAUCAUGUCUCCAAAAGAUUCAUCGAAUCUUUGUUUUAAAAAUUUUGAAACAACUUUUGACAACGGAUCUCUUGGCUCUC